CGGGGCGAUUCGGUGCCUUCCUUCUGUGCCGCUCGGAGGCCGCCGGGCGUGCGUCGGGCGGCGGCGGCGGCGAGCCGGGCCGGAGCCGGAGUCCGUUUCAUUCUGGGCGGGAAGUGGGCGUGGGCGGCAGGCGGGGGCUGCCCGGGAUUGUAGAGCCCGGCCGGCGGCGCCCUCCCGGCGGCGGAGUGAACGUUGGUGGGUAGGAACGCCGCGGCGGGAGCCGCGCCCGCCCCUAGGUGAUCGAGCCGCGGCGGCCAGGCCUCCACCGCGGCCGCCCGAGGCCGUCCAAGGCCACGUGGGCGGCGGGAAUGAGUCGGCGGCCCUCGGGACGGAGUUGCUGGGCGAACCGCGAGCCAGCACGUGCAGCGAAAGUAGCUGGGUUGCGGCUCUGGGUGCCGACACUUAAAAGCACAUAGGAGGUGCCCCCGCAAGUGUUCGUUCUCUCCAAACCUCAGGAGCAUGGUAGGAAUAACUCACAUUAACCGUCACCUCUGAAGUCAGACUUUACCCUCCCCUGACGUUGAUUUUGAUGAAUGAAUAAAGUUACCUUGGGAAAGUUUUUGAGUUUCUUCGUCUUGUCUCGUGGUCUUGACACUUUUGAAGAGCACUGGGCAGAUAUGUUUAGAACGAACCUCAAAUUGAGUCUUUCUGAUGUUUCCUUCCUCACAAGUAGGUGGGGCUCGUGGAUUUAGGGGAACAAUACCAAAGCCUCAAACAAGAAUCCCCAAGGCUGAGAGGGGUCCUGAGUGUCCAGAUGAGAGGAGCCUGGGAGGGUCCCAGAGGAGAGCACUCUCCCCGCCGAGUGAAGAGUCAGCGCAUCCCAGGUGGGGUGGAGGUCCCAGAGCCAGCAGCUCCAAGCUUCAGCUCUGGGGCAGACCCCUGGGCGUUAGCGGGACCCAGGGGGAGCGGCUGCCUGGAGCACCAAGCAGCGGAAUGAGUCCCACUCAUCCCUGGGAAUGAGACCCAAGGACGGAGGCAGAGAAGAGCAAUCCUAACUCAGAGGAGUCGUGGGAUAGGAAAACGACAGUCUCCAGGGGAACCUGCUUGGCCUAAUCCAAAAGGUCCAGGUGGGGAAUUGAUAUCUCAAGUGAUCGAGGGUCCAGAUGACAUUGAAGAGAAAUGAGCUUCAUCUCAAUAUCUUGGCUUUAUGCAAAUAUUAGGGGAAAAGAGGGGAAGAUACUGAAUUGACGACAAAAUUUUUGCCAGCCUGGUAAAAUGAUGCCUUGGAAUAGAAAUUGAACUGUAGUAAUUCUGCAAUUUCUGUGUGUACAUUUCAUGCACGUAUGAGUUUGUAGGUGCAGAUUCUGGCCUAAUAUACCUGAUUUAUCAGUUUGAACUAUAAAGCUCAAUUUAAUCCAAUCAAUGUUUAUUGAGUGCCCGCCAUGUGGCAGGCAGUGUUCUAGCCCACAUGAUGUCUACUGUCCAGUUGGGGUGGUGGGUACUAAAAAGUAAUUGCAAGUCAAAUAAAUGUUACCAAAAGGGAAGUUCGUGGAAUCACAUAGCAGAACAAUUUAGACUAUAUAGCGGUAUGGUAAAUGCCUCCUUGAGAAAAUUACGCUUAAGCUGAAACAUGAGAAAUUAGAAGGAAUACGCCCAAGGUGAAAUGUAAUCAGGAGAAGAGUGGUAGAGGGAAAAAAGGGAGAGCCUGUUUCAGAACUGCGAGUGACAGGCGGCACGGUUGGGGCAUAGAAGGCAGAGGGAAGGAUACUAGUGCUUCGGCUCAAAGAAGUUUUUAGAUUUUUAUGAUAUUAUUUCUUUGCUAAGUAAGUUGGCUGGAAAAUCAGAUAAUGCAGCAUAUUUAGGUCUAAAACCAGGGGGAAAGUCUAGCCAUUAUUUAAAGUAGCAUUCUAUCAUAAUGCCCCAAAUUCACUUGAAAUGACUGAUAGUUCUAGAGUAAAAAUAUUUUCACUCCUACACCCUAUGCCUAUUUCUAGACAUUAUCUGUAGUUUCAUAACUGUGUCCAGAUGGGGGUUCUCUUAAGGUCAUAAAGACUGUGUGCUCUUGUAACUAUGUCACUAUCUUCUCAACAUGUUAUGGUGUUUACAAGUGUAAAUGAAUUCAGAACUUUAUACCACUUCCAUUGGAACUCAGUACAUUUCAAAUGUUCUUUUGAUCAGAAUCUGAUCAUUUAUUUCACUUCUGGGUUGGCAGUCUCCAACGACACAUUUGUUGUGUUACAUCUGUGUGGGCUGAAAAUUUACAACUUAAAAUGCAUUCUUGCUUUAAACUAUUAUAAAUGGUGGCUUCAACGAGGAUAUGCAUCCUGUAGUAUUGCUGAAUUAACUUAUUCUGCAUUUGACUUUUGAUUUGGCCCACUUGUGGUUACCUUACAAAGCAUCCAUCCCCUUCUUUUUGUUUCUGUUAUUUCUAUGCUUUUUUCCUCUGCAUUGCACACAAUGUCAGUCUACCAAGCCCUAUCUACAUCACCUUCUGAAUGUCCCUUUCUCACAAUUCCCAUGCUACUUCCUGGUUCAGGCUCUUAGCCUUUCUCACUUUGACUAAUGCCUCCAAAUUGCCUGCAUGCUCUCUCCCAUCAACAACCCUCCAUCCUGCUGCCAAAGUUUUCCAUCUUGUUGCCAAUCUUUCCUCCUUAAAACCCAUCUCGGUUUCCCUUCACCCAAAGCAGCUGUCUCCAAAUCUCAGUGAACUCACACCCUUAACCGGGAAAACAGUGUGGAGCAUGCAAACCCAAUACGGCCAAAUUUAUUUCUUAUAAUUUAUGUGUUUGUGUUAUUAUAUUAAUAUUAGGUCUACUAUAAAUUGCAUCACAAGAAGAACAAUUUUAAAUAUAAACUAAACUGAAAAUACAUAAAAGUUACAGUUUUUCCUAUACUCCCUUGAACUCCCAGGCUCACAUAUACUCUACCUUUGAGCUACAAUGUAUCGCUUAGAAUUCUCUCACCUACCACAGUCACUCUCUUUUUUUUUUUUUUUUUUUUUUUGGUGGUGCGGCAUCGGCAUUUUAGUUCCCCCACCAGGGAUUGAACCCGUGCCCCUGCAAUGGAAACGGGGAGUCCUAACCACUGAACCGCCAGGGAAUUCCCACAGUCACUCUUGACUCUGUAUCUUUGCACAGGUUGUUGCUUCUGCUUGGAAAUUCUUUUACACUCCCACUCCCCCCAGCCGUUCUUUGCCUAAUUCAUACCCAUCCUUCAGGGCUCAUUUGCUUGACUAUCUUCAAGGAUACCUUCCUGGAUCCUCUCAGACAGGAUCAGAUACCUUUCUCUGUGUUCCCAUAGCAACCUGAGCAUCCUUUAUGUAGGCUGUGUCCCUUACUAGUCAUUAAGCUCCUUGAGGAUGAGGAUCAGGGAUUUCAUCUUCAUGUUAUCAUUGC